CGCAAUUACGAACUCUUUGAUGGGUUGAAUCCGUAAUUGUCCUCAUUAUAUAAUGGUAGUGGUCCCUGGGGUCGUGCGAACAGUUGCUUUUGGUUUCUAGGGUUUUCUCUUUCCCAUCUGAGAGAGACCUCACGCGCACUGCACGUACCCUGGAAGACCCUGCUGCGAUCUUCCCGUGCACCAGAUCAGAUGGAUUCAGAUAUACAUGACAUACACAUUAGAAAUGCAGGAGAUUUACUUUGCAAAAUGUUUUGUUGAUGUUUCAAUGGUAUCUGAAGAAAACAAACUAUGGAAGAGGAGUACAAAAAAUUGUUAAAUUAGAGGAUGAAGUCACCAAAGAGAUAUGAGAAAGGAGAUAAAACCUGACUUUAUAGCCAAUGUAAUAAUUGGAUUUAAGUAAAGUAAUUUUACAAUGCAUGUACAAUCAAUAAAAAGGGUUAUCAUUUGUUUA